CUGCUAAAUAGCCCAGUCGACUAUGGUUGGCUGCUGGCUUCUUAGAGGGACUAUUGGCGUUUAGCCAAUGGAAGUUUGAGGCAAUAACAGGUCUGUGAUGCCCUUAGAUGUUCUGGGCCGCACGCGCGCUACACUGACGGAGCCAACGAGUCUUUUCCUUGUCCGGAAGGACUG
rnacentral:rRNA from 1 species